UACAGAGGUCCCAAGCGUUGUUCGGAUUCACUGGGCGUAAAGGGUGCGCAGGUGGUCGGGUAAGUCUGACGUGAAAUCCCGCAGCUUAACUGCGGAAUGGCAUUGGAUACUAUUCGGCUAGAGGGUUGGAGGGGGGACUGGAAUUCUCGGUGUAGCAGUGAAAUGCGUAGAUAUCGAGAGGAACACCAGUGGCGAAGGCGAGUCCCUAGACAACUCCUGACGCUGAGGCACGAAAGCUAGGGGAGCAAACAGG
rnacentral:rRNA from 1 species